AAGCCCUCCUCGUUUGUCUCUUAAGAUGUACACUGGACAGCGAACCAGCCCGAGGACCUACCAACAGACAAAUAAAGCUGAUUGGCUCGCAAAGAGGUUAUCAGCCAUGCACUAUUCACUUUGGAGAAGAAAGUUUGAGAACACUACACAGACGUGGGGCUAGAAAACUAGGCAGAUUUUGUAAUCAACACGAUGACCCUGCUGCAGAUAUAGAGAAUAAUACAUGGGUGUGCAUAGAUAUGGAAUUCCUCAUCAAAUGUUUAACCCAAUAGCUCACGCAUGAAAUGUCGAGUUGAACAUGAGAAGAGAAAUUUCAUAUCUAUAAGCAUCUACAUGUAUUAUUUUGUUUAUCAUAUAAACACAAUAGCCUUUUACUGAAGAGAAAAGUCAACCUUAUUAAUGAAUCAAAACAAAAGGAUCAACACUCCAAAUAAAAUUGUAAAGUGCAUUGGUACACUCACAGUGUAAACUUGCAUUAAAUCACUACAAAAACAAACAAUGGGCCUAAUUUUCAAUCAACAAAAUUCUGAGUUAUUCAAUAGGUUCUUACUGACUGAAUAAAUCCUUCAAGUACAUGACAAAAAAUCGGCCUGUGGCAAAUCUUUUUGUUGAUGACUUUCAUUCUCAGCUACAAGAAAUGCCUUCACCAAUUUAGCCACUAAAUACAUAACUUUCUGUUUUACUUUUUGUGUUUUGAUUUUCUUCCCCUUCUGGAAAGUUUGAACAUCGCUGUCUGAAAGCAAUAGACAAAUUUGAGUGUUUAGCAGCCAUAAUCCGAAAAAAUGCUGACAAACAACAAUAGAUUGAGAAUGGUAAAGGCUUUGCCAUUCAUUCAUCAACAUGACCAAAAGGCGCCAAAGGCAAGUAAUGUGACGGCAGCUGAUUAGUGAUACCAAACACAUAUAACAAGAUACAAUAUUUUAUCACGUGUGUUGUUACGGCUUUUCUCAGGACUGGAAAUCCUUGUAGAACACCGUAGUUUAUAUCACAAAUUGGAUUAUUAUGUCAACUUCACACGCUAUUGUAUGUUGACUGUAUGCUCUCCACCAAUCAGAGUACUCAGAGUGAUUCUAAUGUAUAUAAUGUAUAUCGAUUGAAUGUUGUCGACCAAUCAGAUUUUUCAGAGUAAAUCUAACGUAUAAUAAUGGACGUAACUGGCGUAUCCUUUUAUCAGUCGAUGAACAGUGUUCUUUCAAACCUAAGUCCACAAUAUCAGUCAAGUGUUCAUGCAUAAGCCUGAUUUGCUCUGAAAAACAUUAGUUAGCGAUAAAGAGAUCUUUCCAUUACUACUUGGCAGGUGAAAUCAUAUUUUCAUUAACUUCUGUACUAAAUGAAGACUAAAGGGCACAA